UACGUAGGGCGCAAGCGUUUAUCCGGAAUUAUUGGGCGUAAAGAGCUCGUAGGCGGUUUGUCGCGUCUGCCGUGAAAAUCCGAGGCUCAACCUCGGACUUGCAGUGGGUACGGGCAGACUAGAGUGUGAUAGGGGAGACUGGAAUUCCUGGUGUAGCGGUGGAAUGCGCAGAUAUCAGGAGGAACACCGAUGGCGAAGGCAGGUCUCUGGGCCACUACUGACGCUGAGAAGCGAAAGCGUGGGGAGCGAACAGG
rnacentral:rRNA from 1 species